UUACCUUCCUGACAGGGAAGACAUGAUAGUGGUGGUGGUUUUCCCAGGGUGAGGCUCACCCAUUUCACUAGGGAUGUGCUGACUGACCCCUGUGAUUUCCACAAAUGUUCGAAACUUGGGUGUGUAAUUUGUGUUAGUGGAGGACUGUAUUCACACUCUCCUCUA
ensembl:snRNA Gm22826 U1 spliceosomal RNA